AUUGAACGCUGGCGGCAGGCCUAACACAUGCAAGUCGAACGAGUGGCGGACGGGUGAGUAAUGUCUGGGAAACUGCCUGAUGGAGGGGGAUAACUACUGGAAACGGUAGCUCAUACCGCAUACCAUCGGAUGUUCCCAGAGGGGAUUAGCUAGUAGGUUGGGUAAAGGCUGACCUAGGCGACGAUCCCUAGCUGGUCUGAGAGGAUGACCAGCAACACGGGAACUGAGACACGGGGCAGACUCCUACGGGAGGCAGCAGUGGGGAAUAUUGCACAAUGGGCGCAAGCCAGAUGCAGCCAUGCCGCGUGUAUGAAGAAGGCCUUCGGGUUGUAAAGUACUUUCAGCGGGGAGGCGUUACCCGCAGAAGAAGCACCGGCUAACUCCGUGCCAGCAGCCGCGGUAAUUC
rnacentral:rRNA from 1 species